CAACCCUGGAAUGAGAAAUGAAGAGGUAACAGCCUUAGUUCAAGCUGCCCAAGAUUCUCCUGUGGAUACCUCAAGUAGCAAAGCAAAAAAUACUCCUCACUCCUCCGAAGCAACUCACAUUCCACACAAAGAUGAUGGCACAGGUCAAAACAAUUUACCUUGCAAUGAUGAUGCAUGAAGUACAAGAAGACUUUGAUUAGGAAUUCUAAUUCAUGUAUUAGGAAUUUCACACUUUUGGUAUUUUGAAGACGACUUUGAUUAGGAAUUCUAAUUCAUGUAUUAGGAAUUUCACACUUUUGGUAUUUUGAAGACGACUUUGAUUAGGAAUUCUAAUUCAUGUAUUAGGAAUUCAUGAGUAGUUAUGAUUUUCACUUUUGGUAUUUUGUUAGUGUAUGUUGUUAUGUGAUCACACACUUAUUUUGGUGACAAUUUUAUGAAAGUUGGAUUACUUGAUAA